rnacentral:rRNA from 1 species
CAGUCUUGGAACUGGGAGAGGUAAACCGUACUUCGGGGGUAGGAGUGAAAUCUUGUAAUCCUCGAGGGACGACCUAUGGCGAAGGCAGUUUACCAGAACAGCUUCGACAGUGAGGGACGAAAGCUGGGGGAGCAAACGGGAUUAGAUACCCCGGUAGUCCCAGCCGUAAACAAUGUGCGUUAGGUGUGUCGGUAACCACGUGUUACUGAUGCGCCGAAGAGAAAUCGUGAAACGCACCACCUGGGAAGUACGGUCGCAAGGCUGAAACUUAAAGGAAUUGGCGGGGGGGCACCACAACAGGUGGAGCCUGCGGUUUAAUUGGAUUCAACGCCGGACAUCUCACCGGAUAAGACAGCUGAAUGAUUGUCAAUCUGAAGGUUUUACAUGACUAGCUGAGAGGAGGUGCAUGGCCGUCGUCAGUUCGUACUGUGAAGCAUCCUGUUAAGUCAGGCAACGAGCGAGACCCA